rnacentral:rRNA from 1 species
GACGAACGCUGGCGGCGUGCUUAACACAUGCAAGUCGAACGGAAAGGCCCUGCUUGCCGGGUACUCGAGUGGCGAACGGGUGAGUAACACGUGGGUGAUCUGCCCUGCACUUCGGGAUAAGCCUGGGAAACUGGGUCUAAUACCGGAUAGGAGCCAUUUUUAGUGUGAUGGUUGGAAAGUUUUUUCGGUGUGGGAUGAGCUCGCGGCCUAUCAGCUUGUUGGUGGGGUAAUGGCCUACCAAGGCGGCGACGGGUAGCCGGCCUGAGAGGGUGGACGGCCACAUUGGGACUGAGAUACGGCCCAGACUCCUACGGGAGGCAGCAGUGGGGAAUAUUGCACAAUGGGCGCAAGCCUGAUGCAGCGACGCCGCGUGGGGGAUGACGGCCUUCGGGUUGUAAACUCCUUUCGCUAGGGACGAAGCUUUUUGUGACGGUACCUAGAUAAGAAGCACCGGCUAACUACGUG